rnacentral:rRNA from 1 species
UUCUUUCGGGAGGAACUUAGUGGCGGACGGGUGAGUAACGCGUGGGUAACCUGCCCUGUACAGGGGGACAACAGCUGGAAACGGCUGCUAAUACCGCAUAAGCCCUUAGCACUGCAUGGUGCAUAGGGAAAAGGAGUAAUCCGGUACAGGAUGGACCCGCGUCUGAUUAGCCAGUUGGCAGGGUAACGGCCUACCAAAGCGACGAUCAGUAGCCGAUCUGAGAGGAUGUACGGCCACAUUGGGACUGAGGCACGGCCCAGACUCCUACGGGAGGCAGCAGUGGGGAAUAUUGCACAAUGGAGGAAGCUCUGAUGCAGCGACGCCGCGUGAGUGAAGAAGUAUUUCGGUAUGUAAAGCUCUAUCAGCAGGGAAGAAAAUGACGGUACCUGACUAAGAAGCACCGGCUAAAUACGUGCCAGCAGCCGCGGUAAUACGUAUGGUGCAAGCGUUAUCCGGAUUUACUGGGUGUAAAGGGAGCGUAGGUGGCAAGGCAAGCCAGAAGUGAAAACCCGGGGCUCAACCGCGGGAUUGCUUUUGGAACUGUCAUGCUAGAGUGCAGGAGGGGUGAGCGGAAUUCCUAGUGUAGCGGUGAAAUGCGUAGAUAUUAGGAGGAACACCGGAGGCGAAGGCGGCUCACUGGACUGUAACUGACACUGAGGCUCGAAAGCGUGGGGAGCAAACAGGAUUAGAUACCCUGGUAGUCCACGCGGUAAACGAUGAAUACUAGAUGUCGGGUAGCACAGCUAUUCGGUGUCGUC